GUUUCAUGUAACCAUGGUCCACCUAGGAAAAUAUUUCCAUGGGUACGAGGAUCUUACUGUAGUAGCAACAUGUGAAGUGCGGGCCUCCAUCAAAGGUCCUUCUUCAAGACCAGUUUCCUUCUGGCAGGUUGUACUUGCAGUUACAUAAUGCAUGCAAGGGGGAUGAAGUUGGGGAGAACCAAUGGGAAAAAAUAAGAACCAAAGAGAUUUCUAUGAAAAUAUAGCCAAUUCGCACUUCAUCUUUUCAACAAUGAAUGGAAAACGUUCUGUGCGAAGAAGUCCAGACCAGCGAAAACAAGCCUUUCAAGAUAAUCCAGAUGUUUGUGAUGAUCAUCCUAGUGGAUCAUCAGGAUCAAGCAGUACCCCGGCAAAAAGCUGGUACUUGCGCAACUCUGCUGGCAAUUACACCAAAAAUUUAAUGACUUCAUCUAGUCAAAUGACUGUAGAUGAUGAAGAGGGUCAAGAUGGGGGACAUUCACCAGACAGAUGCCAAACAGCAUUCAUCAGAGAGGUCAUUGCAAGAGAGACCAGCUCUAGCACCUUGUUGUCAAGGUCAUCCACAGCAUCUCAGAAGAAUGUGCUAAGUAUGCAUCUCACACCUUUUAACAAUAGUGGUCCUUCCAGAUAUGCCUUUGAUUGUGG
rnacentral:lncRNA from 11 species